GUACUGCUGAAGAGUCCAAAACUAGGACGAAACAGCUGUCCAGUAC
rfam:Trichobilharzia regenti genome assembly, scaffold: TRE_scaffold0001494